UCUUGUUUCAAAGGUGAGUCGCCAGAUCCCAUCCCUUCUCCAACCUAUUUUAUUCAUAUCUCACCAAAUAUAAGCUAAGAUUCAUUUUUAGAGAAAGCUACUCAAAGAACUCUACUCUUCCAACAUGAUUUGAUAUGUUCUUUAUUCUGAAACUGGAACACUUGUAGCCUCUCAUUUCGAUGACUUUUUGGGUUCAGAUUUUGGGCAACAUGAGGUUUAGUAGGCUCUUUUCAUGGGGAUCAUUUUAUUGCUCACCAAAUGUUUGAUAGGAUUCCUCAACUGGAUGUUGUCUCAAAAUGCAGUAAUUGUUGUUUUUGUUAUUCAAAAGAAAAAAAGAUCCUAUCCCUUGCUUGAUUCUUUCUCUCUCUAUCUCUUCAGGGAUGUUGAUCUGCCAACGUUGGUAGGAUCCUAUUUCUAGAUUGGCAGCCCAAACUCAUCAAAUGCCCCUAUUUGACCUUCUUCGAUUUUUGAUCCAUCACAAUCUUGGCCUCUUUCCUUGAACCACUAGAGUUCUGGUGGCAUUGCCACAGUCGACCAUCCAAGAUAAACAACCUUGACAUUUUGAUCUAUGUUUAUUUCUCUAAUAUGGACACUAGACUCAUUUUUCAAAGUGGAGAUCAUUGUUAGGCAACUUGAUUGUAAUAGCUAUAUGAAUUUUUGCCUAUAUGUCCAAUUAUAAUCUCUUUUGUUUCAUAAAGCUAAUUUUUGCAUGCCUAAGUCUAUGGCUCAGGUAAUUGGCUCGUUUCUGCCUUCGAUCAUGUGAUAUCUUAUAGUUACAUUGAAAAGCCAUUGUUUCUCCUUUUCUCUUUUGAUCUCGCCUGAUCAUUUCUGAUUAUGUUGGAUUAUAUGUUGGAUUCAAUUGAUGCUAAACAUCAAACUACUUUGAUCGUUGUAGUGUCUGUGACUUGUCUUUAUUUGAUCGUCUCUUGAUUGCUUUUGGCACAUGUGUUUUCCUUGAGUUUGAUAGCGAUGACAUUUUAAAUUGGAUAUAUGCAGUAAGGUCAUCUGUAGCUAGUCAAAAUAAAUG
rnacentral:lncRNA from 1 species